rnacentral:rRNA from 1 species
AGAGUUUGAUCCUGGCUCAGGACGAACGCUGGCGGCGUGCUUAACACAUGCAAGUCGAGCGGAAAGGCCCUUCGGGGUACUCGAGCGGCGAACGGGUGAGUAACACGUGAGGAACCUGCCCUGGACUUUGGGAUAACCCUCGGAAACGGGGGCUAAUACCGAAUAUGACUACUGAUCGCAUGGUUGGUGGUGGAAAGUUUUUCGGUCUGGGAUGGUCUCGCGGCCUAUCAGCUUGUUGGUGGGGUAAUGGCCUACCAAGGCGACGACGGGUAGCCGGCCUGAGAGGGCGACCGGCCACACUGGGACUGAGACACGGCCCAGACUCCUACGGGAGGCAGCAGUGGGGAAUAUUGCACAAUGGGCGGAAGCCUGAUGCAGCGACGCCGCGUGAGGGAUGACGGCCUUCGGGUUGUAAACCUCUUUCAGCAGGGACGAAGCGCAAGUGACGGUACCUGCAGAAGAAGCGCCGGCCAAUUACGUGCCAGCAGCCGCGGUAAGACGUAGGGCGCGAGCGUUGUCCGGAUUUAUUGGGCGUAAAGAGCUCGUAGGCGGCUUGUCGCGUCGACUGUGAAAACCCGCGGCUCAACCGCGGGCCUGCAGCCGAUACGGGCAGGCUAGAGUUCGGCAGGGGAGACUGGAAUUCCUGGUGUAGCGGUGAAAUGCGCAGAUAUCAGGAGGAACACCGGUGGCGAAGGCGGGUCUCUGGGCCGAUACUGACGCUGAGGAGCGAAAGCGUGGGGAGCGAACAGGAUUAGAUACCCUAGUAGUCC